rnacentral:misc_RNA from 1 species
GGGGUUGGUGCUAUCGAAGAUUCGAAGUUUGCAUGUCUAACCUUUUACAUUAUGAGACAGACAGACAAUCAUUAAGCUACUAGCCCAAAAUUGUUUGAAGAACAUAUUUUGGAGAUACUAAAUAAUGCUAAAAUUCACAUUUCCAUUUGGAAAUAAAUGGAUAAGGAUUAAGGAAAUCAUUUGAUUUGUAAAUGAAUUUUAUUAAUAGAUUUAAUUUACAUAUGUUUUUUCAUGUAUGGAAUGCCAUACUGAUAAACCUGCUUCAGUGAAAUGUUAUGUUUGAACAAAUGAAUGUUAAAUUCAAUUUACUCUUCUCUAAAAUCCCAACAUGCCCCGGAUUGGGUUGUUGCUUUAAUUAAACAAGAAUAGCUAUUAAAAUCUUCUUACUUUUAUAGUUGAAGUGGUGUAUAAUUCAUUUGCCAAUUCUUCAGUAUUUGUAGCAGUUAUCCCAAUUUUAAAUUCUGCCAGAUUUGUGGAAAUCAAAUGGAAAUUUUUGAGAUUCCAAACAUAAUAGACUUGCAGAUGAAUUCCUUAACCUUGUGUUUGGAUGGAG